rnacentral:rRNA from 1 species
CCUACGGGAGGCAGCAGUAGGGAAUAUUGGUCAAUGGGCGAAAGCCUGAACCAGCAACGCCGCGUGCGCGAUGAAGGCCUUCGGGUCGUAAAGCGCUUUUGGGAGGGAUGAAAAUGGCAGUACCUCCCGAAUAAGGAUCGGCUAACUACGUGCCAGCAGCCGCGGUAAGACGUAGGAUCCAAGCGUUAUCCGGAAUUACUGGGCGUAAAGGGCGUGUAGGAGGUUGGGCAAGUCGGCCAUGAAAGCUCCCGGCUCAACUGGGAGAGGCUGGUCGAUACUGCCUGGCUAGAGGGCAAGAGAGGGAGGUGGAAUUCCCGGUGUAGUGGUGAAAUGCGUAGAUAUCGGGAGGAACACCAGUGGCGAAGGCGGCCUCCUGGCUUGUACCUGACUCUGAAACGCGAAAGCAUGGGUAGCAAACAGGAUUAGAAACCCUGGUAGUCCAUGCCAUAAACGAUGUCAACUGGGUGUCGGCGAAGUAAAAUUUGUCGGUGCCGAAGCUAACGCGUUAAGUUGACCGCCUGAGGACUACGAUCGCAAGAUUAAAACUUAAAGGAAUUGACGG